rnacentral:rRNA from 1 species
AGUGAACGCUGGCGGUAGGCCUAACACAUGCGAGUCGAACGGCAGCACAGUAAGAGCUUGCUCUUACGGGUGGCGAGUGGCGGACGGGUGAGGAAUACAUCGGAAUCUACUUUUUCGUGGGGGAUAACGUAGGGAAACUUACGCUAAUACCGCAUACGACCUACGGGUGAAAGCAGGGGAUCUUCGGACCUUGCGCGAUUGAAUGAGCCGAUGUCGGAUUAGCUAGUUGGCGGGGUAAAGGCCCACCAAGGCGACGAUCCGUAGCUGGUCUGAGAGGAUGAUCAGCCACACUGGAACUGAGACACUGUCCAGACUCCUACGGGAGGCAGCAGUGGGGAAUAUUGGACAAUGGGCGCAAGCCUGAUCCAGCCAUACCGCGUGGGUGAAGAAGGCCUUCGGGUUGUAAAGCCCUUUUGUUGGGAAAGAAAAGCAGCAGGUUAAUACCCCGCUGUUCUGACGGUACCCAAAGAAUAAGCACCGGCUAACUUCGUG